GACGAACGCUGGCGGCGUGCUUAACACAUGCAAGUCGAACGGAAAGGCCCUGCUUUUGUGGGGUGCUCGAGUGGCGAACGGGUGAGUAACACGUGAGUAACCUGCCCUUGACUUUGGGAUAACUUCAGGAAACUGGGGCUAAUACCGGAUAGGAGCUCCUGCUGCAUGGUGGGGGUUGGAAAGUUUCGGCGGUUGGGGAUGGACUCGCGGCUUAUCAGCUUGUUGGUGGGGUAGUGGCUUACCAAGGCUUUGACGGGUAGCCGGCCUGAGAGGGUGACCGGCGACAUGGGGACUGCGAUACGGCCCAGACGCCUACGGGAGGCAGCAGUGGGGAAUAUGGCACAGUGGGCGGAAGCCUGAUGCAGCAACGCCGCGUGCGGGAUGACGGCCUUCGGGUGGUAAACCGCUUUCGCCUGUGACAAAGCGGGAGUGACGGUAAUGGGUAAAGAAGCACCGGCUAACUACGUG
rnacentral:rRNA from 1 species